UUAAGCGACUAAGCGUACACGGUGGAUGCCCUGGCAGUCAGAGGCGAUGAAGGACGUGCUAAUCUGCGAUAAGCGUCGGUAAGGUGAUAUGAACCGUUAUAACCGGCGAUUUCCGAAUGGGGAAACCCAGUGUGUUUCGACACACUAUCAUUAACUGAAUCCAUAGGUUAAUGAGGCGAACCGGGGGAACUGAAACAUCUAAGUACCCCGAGGAAAAGAAAUCAACCGAGAUUCCCCCAGUAGCGGCGAGCGAACGGGGAGGAGCCCAGAGCCUGAAUCAGUGUGUGUGUUAGUGGAAGCGUCUGGAAAGGCGCGCGAUACAGGGUGACAGCCCCGUACACAAAAAUGCACAUAUUGUGAGCUCGAUGAGUAGGGCGGGACACGUGGUAUCCUGUCUGAAUAUGGGGGGACCAUCCUCCAAGGCUAAAUACUCCUGACUGACCGAUAGUGAACCAGUACCGUGAGGGAAAGGCGAAAAGAACCCCGGCGAGGGGAGUGAAAAAGAACCUGAAACCGUGUACGUACAAGCAGUGGGAGCCUCUUAAUGGGGUGACUGCGUACCUUUUGUAUAAUGGGUCAGCGACUUAUAUUCUGUAGCAAGGUUAACCGAAUAGGGGAGCCGAAGGGAAACCGAGUCUUAACUGGGCGUUAAGUUGCAGGGUAUAGACCCGAAACCCGGUGAUCUAGCCAUGGGCAGGUUGAAGGUUGGGUAACACUAACUGGAGGACCGAACCGACUAAUGUUGAAAAAUUAGCGGAUGACUUGUGGCUGGGGGUGAAAGGCCAAUCAAACCGGGAGAUAGCUGGUUCUCCCCGAAAGCUAUUUAGGUAGCGCCUCGUGAAUUCAUCUCCGGGGGUAGAGCACUGUUUCGGCAAGGGGGUCAUCCCGACUUACCAACCCGAUGCAAACUGCGAAUACCGGAGAAUGUUAUCACGGGAGACACACGGCGGGUGCUAACGUCCGUCGUGAAGAGGGAAACAACCCAGACCGCCAGCUAAGGUCCCAAAGUCAUGGUUAAGUGGGAAACGAUGUGGGAAGGCCCAGACAGCCAGGAUGUUGGCUUAGAAGCAGCCAUCAUUUAAAGAAAGCGUAAUAGCUCACUGGUCGAGUCGGCCUGCGCGGAAGAUGUAACGGGGCUAAACCAUGCACCGAAGCUGCGGCAGCGACACUAUGUGUUGUUGGGUAGGGGAGCGUUCUGUAAGCCUGUGAAGGUGGCCUGUGAGGGUUGCUGGAGGUAUCAGAAGUGCGAAUGCUGACAUAAGUAACGAUAAAGCGGGUGAAAAGCCCGCUCGCCGGAAGACCAAGGGUUCCUGUCCAACGUUAAUCGGGGCAGGGUGAGUCGACCCCUAAGGCGAGGCCGAAAGGCGUAGUCGAUGGGAAACAGGUUAAUAUUCCUGUACUUGGUGUUACUGCGAAGGGGGGACGGAGAAGGCUAUGUUGGCCGGGCGACGGUUGUCCCGGUUUAAGCGUGUAGGCUGGUUUUCCAGGCAAAUCCGGAAAACCAAGGCUGAGGCGUGAUGACGAGGCACUACGGUGCUGAAGCGACAAAUGCCCUGCUUCCAGGAAAAGCCUCUAAGCAUCAGGUAACAUCAAAUCGUACCCCAAACCGACACAGGUGGUCAGGUAGAGAAUACCAAGGCGCUUGAGAGAACUCGGGUGAAGGAACUAGGCAAAAUGGUGCCGUAACUUCGGGAGAAGGCACGCUGAUAUGUAGGUGAAGCGACUUGCUCGUGGAGCUGAAAUCAGUCGAAGAUACCAGCUGGCUGCAACUGUUUAUUAAAAACACAGCACUGUGCAAACACGAAAGUGGACGUAUACGGUGUGACGCCUGCCCGGUGCCGGAAGGUUAAUUGAUGGGGUUAGCGGCAACGCGAAGCUCUUGAUCGAAGCCCCGGUAAACGGCGGCCGUAACUAUAACGGUCCUAAGGUAGCGAAAUUCCUUGUCGGGUAAGUUCCGACCUGCACGAAUGGCGUAAUGAUGGCCAGGCUGUCUCCACCCGAGACUCAGUGAAAUUGAACUCGCUGUGAAGAUGCAGUGUACCCGCGGCAAGACGGAAAGACCCCGUGAACCUUUACUAUAGCUUGACACUGAACAUUGAGCCUUGAUGUGUAGGAUAGGUGGGAGGCUUUGAAGUGUGGACGCCAGUCUGCAUGGAGCCGACCUUGAAAUACCACCCUUUAAUGUUUGAUGUUCUAACGUUGGCCCGUAAUCCGGGUUGCGGACAGUGUCUGGUGGGUAGUUUGACUGGGGCGGUCUCCUCCUAAAGAGUAACGGAGGAGCACGAAGGUUGGCUAAUCCUGGUCGGACAUCAGGAGGUUAGUGCAAUGGCAUAAGCCAGCUUGACUGCGAGCGUGACGGCGCGAGCAGGUGCGAAAGCAGGUCAUAGUGAUCCGGUGGUUCUGAAUGGAAGGGCCAUCGCUCAACGGAUAAAAGGUACUCCGGGGAUAACAGGCUGAUACCGCCCAAGAGUUCAUAUCGACGGCGGUGUUUGGCACCUCGAUGUCGGCUCAUCACAUCCUGGGGCUGAAGUAGGUCCCAAGGGUAUGGCUGUUCGCCAUUUAAAGUGGUACGCGAGCUGGGUUUAGAACGUCGUGAGACAGUUCGGUCCCUAUCUGCCGUGGGCGCUGGAGAACUGAGGGGGGCUGCUCCUAGUACGAGAGGACCGGAGUGGACGCAUCACUGGUGUUCGGGUUGUCAUGCCAAUGGCACUGCCCGGUAGCUAAAUGCGGAAGAGAUAAGUGCUGAAAGCAUCUAAGCACGAAACUUGCCCCGAGAUGAGUUCUCCCUGACUCCUUGAGAGUCCUGAAGGAACGUUGAAGACGACGACGUUGAUAGGCCGGGUGUGUAAGCGCAGCGAUGCGUUGAGCUAACCGGUACUAAUGAACCGUGAGGCUUAACCUU
rnacentral:rRNA from 1 species